rnacentral:ncRNA from 1 species
AAGUACGAGCUCUCGUACAGUGAAACUGCGAAUGGCUCAUUAAAUCAGUUAUGGUUCAUUUGAUCGUACAGUUUACUUGGAUAACUGUGGUAAUUCUAGAGCUAAUACAUGCGAGAAGCGCCGACCUCGCGGGAGGCGUGCAUUUAUCAGACCAAAAACCGGCCGCGUCUUCGGGCGCGUUCGCCUUGGUGACUCUGGAUAACUUUGCGGAUCGCACGGUCUAGCACCGGCGACGGAUCAUUCAAGUGUCUGCCCUAUCAACUUUCGUCGGUACGGUAUUUGCCUACCGAGGUUCUUACGGGUGACGGGGAAUCAGGGUUCGAUUCCGGAGAGGGAGCCUGAGAAACGGCUACCACAUCCAAGGAAGGCAGCAGGCGCGCAAAUUACCCAUUCCCGACGCGGGGAGGUAGUGACGAAAAAUAACAAUGCAGGACUCGUUCGAGGCCCUGUAAUUGGAAUGAGUACACUUUAAAAGCUUUAACGAGUAUCCAUUGGAGGGCAAGUCUGGUGCCAGCAGCCGCGGUAAUUCCAGCUCCAAAAGUAUAUAUUUAAGUUGUUGCGGUUAAAAAGCUCGUAGUUGGAUUUUGGGCGCAGGCGGCCGGUCCGUCGCAAGGCGUGUACUGGACGUCCUGGCCUUCCCUCCGGUUCUCGGCCGGUGCUCUUGACUGAGUGUCGGCGGCGGCCGGAACGUUUACUUUGAAAAAAUUAGAGU